GACAGAGGAUGCAAGCGUUAUCCGGAAUGAUUGGGCGUAAAGCGUCUGUAGGUGGCUUUUUAAGUCUGCCGUCAAAUCCCAGGGCUUAACCCUGGACAGGCGGUGGAAACUACCAAGCUGGAGUACGGUAGGGGCAGGGGAAUUUCCGGUGGAGCGGUGGAAAUGCGUAGAGAUCGGAAAGACACCAACGGCGAAAGCACUCUGCUGGGCCGACACUGACACUGAGAGACGAAAGCUAGGGGAGCGAACAGG
rnacentral:rRNA from 1 species